UGCCUCUAAUAUCCUUCCCUCCAGGGAGCAGCUGGGCAUUAUUUCCUGGAAUAUGGACUGGUUGGAUCUUCUUGCAGUCCAAGGCACUCUCAGGAUUUUCCUCCAACACCACAGUUCAAAAGUGUCUAUCUUCCUUCGGUGAUUCAAUGCACAAAAACUUCAUUAAAAACAUUGUACCAUAAAACUUCCAGGCAUAUAAGAUAACAGGAUCUUGUACCCCUAAAGGACUUCCACCCAUGAUUAUCCCUAUG
rnacentral:lncRNA from 11 species